CCUGAUGCAGCCAUGCCGCGUGUGUGAAGAAGGCCUUCGGGUUGUAAAGCACUUUCAGUUGUGAGGAAAAGUUAGUAGUUAAUACCUGCUAGCCGUGACGUUAACAACAGAAGAAGCACCGGCUAACUCCGUGCCAGCAGCCGCGGUAAUACGGAGGGUGCGAGCGUUAAUCGGAAUUACUGGGCGUAAAGCGCACGCAGGCGGUUUGUUAAGCUAGAUGUGAAAGCCCCGGGCUCAACCUGGGAUGGUCAUUUAGAACUGGCAGACUAGAGUCUUGGAGAGGGGAGUGGAAUUCCAGGUGUAGCGGUGAAAUGCGUAGAUAUCUGGAGGAACAUCAGUGGCGAAGGCGACUCCCUGGCCAAAGACUGACGCUCAUGUGCGAAAGUGUGGGUAGCGAACAGGAUUAGAUACCCUGGUAGUCCACACCGUAAACGCUGUCUACUAGCUGUGUGUGCCUUUAAGGCUGUGCGUAGCGAAGCUAACGCGAUAAGUAGACCGCCUGGGGAGUACGGCCGCAAGGUUAAAACUCAAAUGAAUUGACGGGGGCCCGCACAAGCGGUGGAGCAUGUGGUUUAAUUCGAUGCAACGCGAAGAACCUUACCUACACUUGACAUGCUGAGAAGUUACUAGAGAUAGUUUCGUGCCUUCGGGAACUCAGACACAGGUGCUGCAUGGCUGUCGUCAGCUCGUGUCGUGAGAU
rnacentral:rRNA from 1 species